ACUGCUCAGUAACACGUGGACAACCUACCCUGAGGUCGGGGAUAAACCCGGGAAACUGGGUAUAAUACCCGAUAGAUCUAAGGUGCUGGAAUGCUUUUAGGUCUAAAGUUCCGACGCCUCAGGAUGGGCCUGCGGCCUAUCAGGGUAGUAGUGGGUGUAAAGUACCUACUAGCCUACGACGGGUACGGGUUGUGAGAGCAAGAGCCCGGAGAUGGAUUCUGAGACACGAAUCCAGGCCCUACGGGGUGCAGCAGGCGCGAAACCUUUACAAUGCUGGCAACAGCGAUAAGGGGACCUCGAGUGCCGAGAUACAAUCUCGGCUGUCUAGUUGCCUAAAAAGCAAUUGAUAGCAAGGGCCGGGCAAGACCGGUGCCAGCCGCCGCGGUAACACCGGCGGCUCGAGUGGUAACCGCUAUUAUUGGGUCUAAAGGGUCUGUAGCCGGCUUAGUUAGUCUCUUGAGAAAUCUGGCCGCUCAACGGUCAGGCGUUCAGGGGAUACUGCUAAAGCUCGAGACCGGGAGAGGUGAGAGGUACUUCAGGGGUAGGGGUGAAAUCUUGUAAUCCUUGAAGGACCACCAGUGGCGAAGGCGUCUCACCAGAACGGAUCUGACGGCAAGGGACGAAAGCUAGGGGCACGAACCGGAUUAGAUACCCGGGUAGUCCUAGCCGUAAACGAUACUCGCUAGGUGUCAGCCACGGUGCGACCGUGGUUGGUGCCGUAGGGAAGCCGUGAAGCGAGCCACCUGGGAAGUACGGCCGCAAGGCUGAAACUUAAAGGAAUUGGCGGGGGAGCAC
rnacentral:rRNA from 1 species